rnacentral:rRNA from 1 species
CCUACGGGCGGCAGCAGUGAGGAAUAUUGGUCAAUGGACGAGAGCCUGAACCAGCCAAGUAGCGUGAAGGAUGACUGCCCUAUGGGUUGUAAACUUCUUUUAUAUGGGAAUAAAAUGUUCCACGUGUGGGAUUUUGUAUGUACCAUAUGAAUAAGGAUCGGCUAACUCCGUGCCAGCAGCCGCGGUAAUACGGAGGAUCCGAGCGUUAUCCGGAUUUAUUGGGUUUAAAGGGAGCGUAGGUGGGUUGUUAAGUCAGUUGUGAAAGUUUGCGGCUCAACCGUAAAAUUGCAGUUGAAACUGGCAGUCUUGAGUACAGUAGAGGUAGGCGGAAUUCGUGGUGUAGCGGUGAAAUGCUUAGAUAUCACGAAGAACUCCGAUUGCGAAGGCAGCUCACUGGACUGCAACUGACAUUGAGGCUCGAAAGUGUGGGUAUCAAACAGGAUUAGAUACCCCAGUAGUC